rnacentral:lncRNA from 1 species
UUUUUUUUUGUGGCCUAUAAGCCGGAUCAAAGGGUAAUCAUAACUUUGCUCGAUAAAGCAGAAACCCCCAAGUGACCAAAAAAGUCAUGAUUUAAAGAGAAAACGACAGAGGCCCUGCUUUGACAGGCAUGCCAGCUUUAUACUGAUCAUAAUAUAUACAUUAUUAUAAUAUGUACAUCAGAAGAGCCUGUGGCUCAGGUGUAAUAAGGCCGAAGAUGAGCAAUAUUCCACGGCCGGUGGGUCUCCUCCUCCGAUUUACGUGAGUCUUUGUGCUCUCGAACAUCGAUAAGGUAGUAUGACCCGUUGUUCAGAUUCUUGGUGACCACAAAGGGUCCUUCCCAAGGUGGGGACAACUUGUGCAUAUCAGUCUGAUCCUGGAUGAGCCGGAGCACUAGAUCGCCUUCUUGGAAAGUUCUGGUUUUAACCCGGCGGCUGUGGUAACGACGCAGAUCUUGCUGGUAAAUUGCCGAACGAGCCGCCGCUAUGUCCCGCUUCUCAUCUAACAGGUCUAGUGCCUCUUGACAUGCUUGUUCAUUGUCCGCUUCAACAUAAGCCGCCACACGAGGUGAAUCGUGACGGAUGUCACUAGGGAGAACCGCCUCUGCUCUGUAAACCAUGAAGAAAGGCGUGUAACCCGUAGAUCUGUUGGGGGUAGUAUUAAUGCUCUAUAACACGGAAGGUAACUCUUCCACCCAACAACCCGGCAUCCUCUACAAAGGAACCAUAAGCUGGGGCUUGAUGCCUCUCAGGAUUUCUUGAUUAGCUCUCUCGGCUUGACCAUUAGAUUGAGGGUGAGCCACUGACGACACAUCAAGCCGGAUGUGCUCACAUUGACAAAAGUCCUUCAUAGCACCGUUGGAGAGGUUCAUGCCAUUUUCUGUUAUAAUGCUGUGUGGAAAGCCAAAACGGAAGAUCACUUUCUUCAUGAAUUGAACCGCCGUUGCUGCAUCACACUUACUGACUGGCUCCGCCUCUACCCACUUAGUGAACUUAUCAACCGCCACCAAAAGUGAAGGAAAUAUGCCCUAGAGGCAAUAAUAAAGUUAUUAUUUAUUUCCUUAUAUCAUGAUAAAUGUUUAUUAUUCAUGCUAGAAUUGUAUUAACCGGAAACAUAAUACUUGUGUGAAUACAUAGACAAACAGAGUGUCACUAGUAUGCCUCUACUUGACUAGCUCGUUGAUCAAAGCUGGUUAUGUUUCCUAGCCAUAGACAUGAGUUGUCAUUUGAUUAACGGGAUCGCAUCAUUAGGAGAAUGAUGUGAUUGACUUGACCCAAUCCGUUAGCUUAGCACUUGAUCGUUUAGUAUUCAGCUAUUGCUUUCUUCAUGACUUAUACAUGUUCCUAUGACUAUGAGAUUAUGCAACUCCCGUUUACUGGAGGAACACUUUGUGUGCUACCAAACAUCACAACGUAACUGGGUGAUUAUAAAGGUGCUCUACAGGUGUCUCCAAAGGUACUUGUUGGGUUGGCGUAUUUCGAGAUUAUGAUUUGUCACUCCGAUUGUCGGAGAGGUAUCUCUAGGCCCACUCGGUAAUGCACAUCACUAUAAGCCUUGCAAGCAUUGUAACUAAUGAGUUAGUUGCGGGAUAAUGUAUUACGGAGCGAGUAAAGAGACUUGCCGGUAACGAGAUUGAACUUGGUAUUUAGAUACCGACGAUCGAAUCUCGGGCAAGUAACAUACCGAUGACAAAGGGAACAAACGUAUGUUGUUAUGCGGUUUGACCGAUAAAGAUCUUCGUAGAAUAUGUAGGAGCCAAUAUGGGCAUCUAGGUUCCGCUAUUGGUUACUGACCAGAGAAGUGUCUCGGUCAUGUCUACAUAGUUCUCGAACCCAUAGGGUCCGCACACUUAAACAUUCGUUGACGAUAUAGUAUUAUAUGAGUUAUGUAUGUUGGCGACCGAAUGUUGUUCGGAGUCCCGGAUGAGAUCACGAAUAUGACGAGGAGCUCCGGAAUGGUCGGGAGGUAAAGAUUCAUAUAUUGGAUGAUAUGGUUAGGCCAAGGGGUCAGGCCCACGGGGCUAUAAGUCGGUGCAAAAGGAGUUUUGCGGAGGCCAGGGGGGCAAACGCCAGAGUCCCUGGCGUCUGGCCCUGGGCCAGAUGCCGAGGCCCAUGGCGUCUGGGCCAGACGCCAAGGUUUGUGGCGUUUGGUCCUGGAGUCCAAGUGGGACUCUUGCCUUUCGGGCAAAACCGACUUUGAGGAGGCUUUUGCUCCAAGUUUCGACCCCAGGGCUCAACAUAUAAAUAGAGGGGCAGGGCUAGCACCAAAGACACAUCAAGAAACACCAAGCCGUGUGCCGGCAACCCCGUCCCCUCUAGUUUAUCCUCCGUCAUAGUUUUCGUAGUGCUUAGGCAAAGCCCUGCGGAGAUUGUUCUUCACCAACACCGUCACCACGCCGUCGUGCUGCCGGAACUCAUCUACUACUUCGCCCCUCUUGCUGGAUCGAGAGGGCGAGGAAGUCAUCGAGCUGAACGUGUGCUGAACUCGGAGGUGCCGUGCGUUCGGUACUUGGAUCAGUCGGAUCGUGAAGACGUACGACUACAUCAGCCGCGUUGAUAAAACGCUUCCGCUUACGGUCUACGAGGGUACGUAGACAACACUCUCCCCUCUCGUUGCUAUGCAUCACCAUGAUCUUGCGUGUGCGGAGAAAUUUUUUUGAAAUUACUACGUUCCCCAACAAUGGUAUCCGAGCCAGGUUUUAUGCGUUGAUGUUAUAUGCACGAGUAGAACACAAGUGAGUUGUGGGCGAUACAAGUCAUACUGCUUACCAGCAUGUCAUACUUUGGUUCAGCGGUAUUGUUGGAUGAAGCUGCCCGGACCGACAUUACGCGUACGCUUACGCGAGACUGGUUAUACCGACGUGCUUUGCACACAGGUGGCUGGCGGGUGUCAGUUUCUCCAACUUUAGUUGAACCGAGUGUGGCUACGCCCAGUCCUUGAGAAGGUUAAACCAGCACUAACUUGACGAACUAUCGUUGUGAUUUUGAUGCGUAGGUAAGAACGGUUCUUGCUCAGCUCGUAGCAGCCACGUAAAACUUGCAACAACAAAGUAGAGGACGUCUAACUUGUUUUUGUAGGGCAUGUUGUGAUGUGAUAUGGUCAAGACAUGAUGCUAUAUUUUAUUGUAUGAGAUGAUCAUGUUUUGUAACCGAGUUAUCGGCAACUGGCAGGAGCCAUAUGGUUGUCGCUUUAUUGUAUGCAAUGCAAUCGCCCUGUAAUUGCUUUACUUUAUCACUAAGCGGUAGCGAUAGUCGUAGAAGCAAUAGUUGGCGAGACGACAACGAUGCUACGAUGGAGAUCAAGGUGUCACGCCGAUGACGAUGGUGAUCAUGACGGUGCUUUGGAGAUGGAGAUCAAAGGCACAAGAUGAUGAUGGCCAUAUCAUAUCACUUAUAUUGAUUGCAUGUGAUGUUUAUCUUUUAUGCAUCUUAUUCUGCUUUGAUUGACGGUAGCAUUAUAAGAUGAUCUCUCACUAAAUUUCAAGGUAUAAGUGUUCUCCCUGAGUAUGCACCGUUGCGAAAGUUCUUCAUGCCGAGACACCACGUGAUGAUCGGGUGUGAUAAGCUCUACGUUCAAAUACAACGGGUGUAAGACAGUUUUACACACGCAGAAUACUCAGGUUAAACUUUGACGAGCCUAGCAUAUGCAGAUAUGGCCUCGGAACACUGAGACCGAAAGGUCGAGCGUGAAUCAUAUAGUAGAUAUGAUCAACAUAGUGAUGUUCACCAUUGAAACUACUCCAUCUCACGUGAUGAUCGGACAUGGUUUAGUUGAUUUGGAUCACAUGACCACUUAGAUGAUUAGAGAGAUGUCUAUCUAAGUGGGAGUUCUUAAGUAAUAUGAUUAAUUGAACUUAAAUUUAUCAUGAACUUAGUCCUGGUAGUAUUAGCAUAUCUAUGUUGUAGAUCAAUAGCUCGCGUUUAGCUCCCCUGUUUUAUUUUGAUAUGUUCCUAGAGAAAACUAAGUUGAAAGAUGUUAGUAGCAAUGAUGCGGACUUGGUCCAUGUUCUGAGGAUUAACCUCAUUGCUGCACAGAAGUAUUAUGUCCUUGAUGCACCGCUAGGUGACAGAACUCUUGCAGGAGUAGAUGCAGACGUUAUGAACGUUUUGACAAAAGCUCGGUAUGAUGACUACUUGAUAGUUUAGUGCACCAUGCUUUACGGCUUAGAACCGGGACCUAAAAAAUGUUUUGAACGCCACGGAGCAUAUAAGAUGUUCCAAGAGUUGAAAUUGGUAUUUCAUACUCGUGCCCAUGUCGAGAGGUAUGAGACCUAUGACAGUACUUUGCCAAUAAGAUGGAGGAGAAUAGCUCAACCAGUGAGCAUGUGCUCAGAUUGUCUGAGUACUACAAUUACUUGAAUCAAGUGGGAGUUAAUCUUCCAGAUAAGAUAGUAAUUGACAAAGUUCUCUAGUCACUAUCACCAAGUUAAUAGAACUUCAUGAUGAACUAUAAUAUGCAAGGGAUGACGAAAGUAAUUCCCGAGCUCUUCGCGAUGCUGAGAUCGGCGAAGGUAGAAAUCAAGAAAAGAGCAUCAAGUGUUGAUGGUUAACAAGAUCACUAGUUUCAAGAAAAGGGCAAAGGGAAAGAAGGGGAACUUCAAGAAGAACGGCAAGCAAGUUGCUGCUCAAGUGAAGAAACCCAAGUUUGGACCUAAGCCUGAUACUGAGUGCUUCUACUGCAAAAUGGACUAGUCACUGGAAGCGGAACUACCCCAAAUAAUGAACAAAAGUAUAUUUGAUAUACAUGUUAUUGAUGUGUACUUUACUAGUGUUUAUAGCAACCCCUCGGUACUUGAUACUGGUUCAGUUGCUAAAGAGUAGUAACUCGAAAUGGGAGUUGCAUAAUGAACAUAAACUAGUUAAGGAUGAAGUGACGAUGUGUAUUGGAAAUGGUUCCAAGAUUGAUAUGAUCAUCAUGGCACACUCCCUAUACUUUCGGGAUUAGUGUUGAACCUAAAUAAGUGUUAUUUGGUGUUUGCGUUGAGCAUGAAUAUGAUUUGAUCAUGUUUAUUGCAAUACGGUUAUUCAUUUAAGUUAGAGAAUAACUGUUGUUCUGUUUACAUGAAUAAAACCUUAUAUGGUUACACACCCAAUGCAAAUGGUUCGCUGGAUCUUGAUCGUAGUGAUACACAUAUUCAUAAUAUUGAAGCCAAAAGAUGCAAAGUUAAUAAUGAUAGUGCAACUUAUUUGUGGCACUGCCGUUUAGGUCAUAUUGGUGUAAAGCGCAUGAAGAAACUCCAUGCUGAUGGGCUUUUGGAAUCACUUGAUGCUUGCGAACCAUGCCUUAUGGGCAAGAUGACUAAGACUCCGUUCUCCGGAACAAUGGAGCGAGCAACUGACUUGUUGGAAAUAAUACAUACUGAUGUAUACGGUCCGAUGAGUGUUGAGGCUCGCGGCAGGUAUCGUUAUUUUCUGACCUUCACAGAUGAUUUGAGCAGAUAUGGGUAUAUCUACUUGAUGAAACAUAAGUCUGAAACAUUUGAAAAGUUCAUAUAAUUUCAGAGUGAAGUGGAAAUCAUCUUAACAAGAAAAUAAAGUUUCUACGAUCUGAUCGUGGAGGAGAAUAUUUGAGUUACGAGUUUGGUCUUCAUUUGAAACAAUGCGGAAUAGUUUCGCAACUCACGCCACCUGGAACACUACAGCAUAAUGGUGUGUCCGAACGUCAUAACCGUACUUUAUUGGAUAUAGUGCAAUCUAUGAUGUUUCUUACCGAUUUACCACUAUAGUUUUGGGGCUAUGCAUUAGAGAUAGUUGCAUUCACGUUAAAAAGGGCACCAUCUAAAUCCGUUGAGACGACACCGUAUGAACUGUGGUUUGGCAAGAAACCCAAGUUGUCGUUUCUUAAAGUUUGGGGUUGUGAUGCUUAUGUGAAAAAGUUUCAUCCUGAUAAGCUCAAACCCAAAUCAGAUAAAUGUGUCUUCAUAGGAUACCCAAAGGAGACAGUUGGGUACACCUUCUAUCACAGAUCUGAAGGCAAGACAUUCGUUGCUAAGAAUGGAUCCUUUCUGGAGAAGGACUUUUCUCUCGAAAGAAGUGAGUGGGAGGAAAGUAGAACUUGAUGAGGUAACUGUACCUGCUCCCUAAAUUGGAAACUAGUUCAUCACAGAAAUCUGUUCCUGUGACUCCUACACCAAUUAGUGAGGAAGCUAAUGAUGAUGAUCAUGUAACUUCACAUCAAGUUACUACCAAACCUCGUAGGUCAACCAGAGUGAGAUCCGCACCAAAGUGGUACGGUAAUCCUGUUCUGGAGGUCAUAUUACUUGACCAUGACGAACCUACGAACUAUGAGGAAGCGAUGAUGAGCCCAGAUUCCGCAAAAUGGCUUGAGGCCAUGAAAUCUGAGAUGGGAUCCAUGUAUGAGAACAAAGUGUGGACUUUGAUUGACUUGCCCGAUGAUCGGCAAGCCAUAGAAAAUAAAUGGAUCUUCAAGAGGAAGACGGACGCUGAUAGUAGUGUUACUAUCUACAAAGCUAGACUUGUCGAAAAAGGUUUUGACAAAGUUCAAGGUGAGAUUUUCUCACUUGUAGCGAUGCUUAAGUCUGUCUGAAUCAUGUUAGCAAAUUGCCACAUUUUAUGAAAUCUGGCAAAUGGAUGUCAAAACUACAUUCCUUAAUGGAUUUCUUAAAGAAGAGUUGUAUAUGAAGCAACCAAAAGGUUUUGUCGAUCCUAAAGGUGCUAACAAAAUGUGCAAGCUCCAGCGAUCCAUCUAUGGACUGGUGCAAGCAUCUCGGAGUUGGAAUAUACGCUUUGAUGAGUUGAUCAAAGCAUAUAGUUUUAUACAGACUUGCGGUGAAGCCUGUAUUUACAAGAACGUGAGUGGGAGCACUACAACAUUUCUGAUAAAUAUAUGUGAAUGACAUAUUGUUGAUCGGAAAUAAUGUAGAAUUUUCUGAAAAGCAUAAAGGAGUAUUUGAAAGGAGUUUUUCAAAGAAAGACCUCGGUGAAGCUGCUUACAUAUUGAGCAUCAAGAUCUAUAGAGAUAGAUCAAGACGCUUGAUAAUAUUUUUCAAUGAGUACAUACCUUGACAAGGAUUUUGAAGUAGUUCAAAAUGGAGUAGUCAAAGAAAGAGUUCUUGGCUGUGUUACAAGGUGUAUAAUUGAGUAAGACUCAAAGCCCGACCACGGCAGAAGAUAGAAAGAGAAUAAAAGUCAUUCCCUAUGCCUCUACCAUAGGUUCUAUAAAGUAUGCCAUGCUGUGUACCAGAUCUAUUGUAUACCCUACACUGAGUUUAGCAAGGGAGUACAAUAGUGAUCUAGGAGUAGAUCACCGGACAGCAGUCAAAAAUUAUCCAGUCUCCGAGGAUGAGGAGAGCCUCGGCAGCGAGGAUUUCAUCAUGCCUGAGGCACCCCUCGAGCAGGAGCGCUUCAAGCGCCAGCUAAUAGCUACUGCUAGAAGCCUGAAGAAAAAGCAGCAGCAGCUCCAAGCCGAUCAAGACCUACUCAUUGACAGAUGGACCGAUGUCCUGGCAGCCGAAGAAUACAGCCUCAAGUGCCUAGCCAAGAGUUACCCGAAGCGCAGACUGCUACCUCACUUCGAUGAGGAGGCACCUGAUCCCAUACCUCCCUCGCGCAAUGCAGAACGACCACCACGUGGUCGGGAUAGUGCGGCGGACCGACCACCCCGCGGUCGGGAUAAAACGGCAACUCAGGACGAACAACAGCCCACCCCACCGCCUCCUAAAAACAGAGACAGAACAACUCGGGACCAUACAUACGACCUUCGGCAGGACCUGGAUAGUAGAGCAGGACACACCAGAUCAACCUACGGAUUGCGAGGACGCUUCCCGACUCGGGAUGACGGCUACCUAUUCGGACGUGACAAACCUAGUCACGCCCGGGCCGAUAACCGCAGACGGACUUCGUCGAAGGUGCGCCAUGAUGCGGCCCGAUAUAGAGGUGUUGCACACCCCCUCUGCUUCACAGAUGAAGUACUGGAUCACGAAUUCCCCGAGGGGUUCAAGCCCGUCAAUAUCGAAUCAUACGACGGAACAACCGAUCCCGCAGUAUCGAUCGAGGAUUUUAUUCUACACAUUCAUAUGGCCCGAGGAGACGACCUCCACGCCAUCAAAUACCUCCCACUAAAACUAAAAGGGCCAGCUAGACACUGGUUAAAUAGCCUGCCCGAAAAUUCCAUCGGCAGUUGGGAGGACUUGGAAGAAGCUUUUCUUGACAAUUUCCAAGGUACUUAUGUCCGGCCACCAGACGCUGAUGACUUAAGUCAUAUAGUUCAACAACCUGGAGAAUCAGCCAGAAAAUUCUGGACUAGGUUCCUAACCAAAAGGAACCAGAUCGUUGACUGCCCGGAUGCCGAAGCCCUAGCGGCCUUCAAACACAGCAUCCGCGACGAAUGGCUUGCCCGCCACCUCGGCCAAGAAAAGCCGAAGUCUAUGGCAGCCCUCACGGCACUCAUGACCCGCUUUUGCGCGAGAGAGGACAGCUGGCUGGCUCGUAGCAAAAACACAGCCAAUGAGGCAGGCCCCUCCGAGGCCAAGAACAGCACCGGCAAGCUCCGGCACAAUAGACACAAACGCCGAAGCAAUGGCGAUAAUACCGAUGACACUAUAGUUAACGCCAGAUUCAGCGGCUCCAAGUCCGGCCAGCGGAAAAAGCCCUACAAAAGGAACAAUGAGGGACCAUCCAGCUUGGACCGCAUACUCGACCGUCCGUGCCAGAUACAUGGCACCCCAGACAAACAAGCCAAUCAUACCAACAGAGAUUGUUGGGUUUUCAAACAGGCUAGCAAGUUAAAUGCCGAUAACAAGGAAAAGGGAUCACAAAGCGAGGACGAAGACGAAGAGCCCUGGCAGCCGAACACUGGGGGGCAGAAGAAAUUUCCCCCUCAAGUCAAAACGGUGAACAUGAUAUACGCUACACACAUCCCCAAAAGGGAGCACAAGCGAGCACUCAGGGACGUCUACGCGGUAGAGCCAGUCGCCCCAAAAUUCAAUCAGUGGUCGUCAUUCCCGAUCACCUUCGAUCGUCGAGAUCAUCCAACUAGUAUCCACCAUGGCGGUUCGGCCGCACUGGUCCUCGACCCAAUCAUCGACGGAUUUCACCUAACACGAGUCCUAAUGGACGGUGGUAGCAGCCUCAACCUGCUCUAUCAGGAUACGGUGCGCAAAAUGGGCAUUAAUCCCUCACGAAUCAAGCCCACAAAGACUACCUUUAAAGGAGUCAUACCAGGCGUAGAGGCCCGUUGUACGGGCUCAAUCACGCUAGAAGUGGUCUUCGGUUCUCCGGAGAACUUCCGAAGCGAAGAGUUAAUCUUCGAUAUCGUCCCCUUCCGCAGCGGCUACCACGCACUGCUUGGACGAACUGCGUUCGCUAGAUUCAACGCAGUGCCACACUAUGCUUAUCUCAAGCUCAAGAUGCCCGGUCCACGCGGCGUCAUAACAGUCAAUGGAAAUACUAAACGCUCCCUCCGAACAGAGGAGCACACAGCCGCCCUAGCAGCAGAGGUACAGAGUGGCCUUCUCAAGCAGAACAGUAAUCCGGCUGCCGAGCCCCUGGACAUCACUAAGAGAGUCCGGACCACACCAUAACAGGACGGUUCGGCUCGUCAAGAACUGGACUAGCAAUUCGGCCUCCGUCCGGUCCGGAUGAGGUAGCCGCAUCCGCACCACGCGUACAUAAUUACGCACUCAAGAUCCCAUGGGCAUCGACGGAGGCACAGCUAGCUUGUAGUUCAGCUACACCGAUCCCGGACUCACUGGUAUCUCUACUAUUUUCUUUUUUUCUCUUUUCUUUUUCCCUCUUUUUCAGGUAUCUUUUAUACCGGCCUCCUCUGAUGGCCUGACUACCGGUCCUGUCAAAGGACAAGUACACCAGAUUGGCGCAGAGCACAUGCAUACAGGGGAAGCCCUAGAGGACAAUCCAACGACUACUCUACCUGUCUUUCAGUACCCAAAUGCAGCUCUCCUCUGGUUCUGGCAUGUUAAAUAGCCGGUUGCUUAUCGCAUUAUUUGUACAAAUGCCCUUUGACGCAUUAACCCAACCAUAAUGGAAGCAGUUUACGGCCCAAGUCAAGGGGCCCCAGAUACUACCUCUGCUCUCUUUCUGUUUUCCUUUGCCAUUAAUUACUUACAUUCUCGCACACGUGCAGUUUGGUGCGUUCCACAUUCGCCAGGGGCUUCCCAUCGCCCCAUAAUACGGCAACAAAGUCCGAACACUUCUUAAAGAUAAGUUCGGCACCCCGAAUUUAGCAUUAUAUGCAUUGGCUCCGAAUCAUGUCUUUGGUCAAUAGUUGGGUUGCCCGGCUCCUGUGCUUGCUACCCUACGUUCUGCUACAUCGGCUAGCGUAGUAAAGGGAGAACUACUGCGAUUGUGCCCUGGUCUAAACCGGAUGAGCACCUCAGUAGAGAAAGCUGAAAACUGACUGUCAUGAUGCAGCGAGAGCCGGUCAGCUGUUAAGAGGUCACAAAUCGUUGGAGAUUCUUUUCCGCAUUUCGCGAAGGAUCGGUACUUCCCGAUCAGACGCUGACAGCACUCUGUUUCGUAUACCACGGGCUGCGCCUAUGUUUUAUUAUAAAACUCCUAUGGCUAAGUGAGGGCGUUUAAGCUGCAUAGUCUGGUUGCCUGGUUCGCUGCGCUAAACAACUCCUUCAAGGACCAUAUAAUUGGAUGAAGAUUGUUUAGAUUCCAUCCCGAACACCUCUGUACUACCUACGUGAGGGCAGAAGCCGACGACUGGUCAACCCUCAGAUUCCAUACAACACGGCCGCAUAGGAGGAAACAAUCAAAACAUAACAAACAUUAUAUUACAAACCAGAUUUGUUUUCAUCAAACAAGGCAAAGACAAAAAACGAAUGUCUUCAUUCAAAAAUAAUGUCCUGCCCGCACUGCGCUGCUGCAAGUCGAGACCCCUCCAGGACAUCCGCAAAAUAUCGCUCGGGUGUGCGGUGCUCCUUGCCCUCCGGCGACCGCUUGGCCACCUCGACGGUGUCCAUCUUCGCCCACCACAUCUUGCAACGACCGAAGGCCAUGCGGGCACCUUCGAUGCAGACUGAUCGCUUGACGAUGUCUAGCAGCGGACAAGCCUCCAUCACCCGCUGCACGAGGCCAAAAUAACUGCUAGGUAUAGCUUCGGCUGGCCAAAGCUGGAUUAUUAAAUCCUUCAUGGCCAGUUCGGCCACCCUGUGCAGCUCGACCAACUGUUUCAGCUGAUCGGCAAAGGGCACCGGAUGUUCUGGCAUAGUAUACUGCGACCACAACAGCUUCUCCGUGGAAUUCCCUUCUCCGGCUCGGAAGAACUCUGCGACAUCGGACACGCUGCGUGGCAGAUCCGCAAAGGCCCCUGGGCAACUCCGUGUUGGGGAACGUAGCAGAAAUUCAAAAUUUUCUACGCAUCACCAAGAUCAAUCUAUGGAGUAAUCUAGCAACGAGGGGAACGGGAGUGCAUCUACAUACCAUUGUAGAUCGCGAUGCGGAAGCGUUGCAAGAACGCGGAUGAGGGAGUCGUACUCGUAGCGAUUCAGAUCGCGGUUGAUUCCGAUCUAAGCACCGAAGAACGGUGCCUCCGCGUUCAACACACGUGCAGCCCGGUGACGUCUCCCACGCCUUGAUCCAGCAAGGAGAGAGGGAGAGGUUGGGGAAGACUCCAUCCAGCAGCAGCACGACGGCGUGGUGGUGAUGGAGGAGCGUGGCAAUCCCGCAGGGCUUCGCCAAGCACUGCGGGAGAGGAGGAGGACUUGGGAGAGGGGAAGGGCUGCGCCAGAACUUGGGUGGUCGCUGCCCUCCCACCCCUCCACUAUUUAUAGGUGGGGGAGAGGGGGGCCGGCCCCCUUAGAUCUCAUCUAGGGUUGGGGGCGGCGGCCAAAGGGGGGAGGAGUGCCUCCCAAGUCAAGUGGAGGCCCUCCCCCUUAGGGUUUCCCCUCUCCCAUGCGCAUGGGCCUUGGGGGGCUGGUGCCCCUGGCCCAUUAAGGCUAGGGCGCCCCCUUACAUCCCAUGCUGCUGUAUUGGAAGUGGUGGAACAUUUUCCGGACCUCCGGACCCCUCCGGAAUCCUCCGGAACCUUCUGGAAGCUUCCCGGUACAAUACCGAAAAACCCGAACUUUUCUCGGAACCCGAACAACAACUUUCCAUAUAUAAAUCUUUACCUCCGGACCAUUCCGGAACUCCUCGUGACGUCCGGGAUCUCAUCCGGGACUCCGAACAACUUUCGGGUUACCGCAUACUAAUAUCUCUAUAACCCUAGCGUCACCGAACCUUAAGUGUGUAGACCCUACGGGUUCGGGAGACACGCAGACAUGACCGAGACGACUCUCCGGUCAAUAACCAACAGCGGGAUCUGGAUACCCAUGUUGGCUCCCACAUGCUCCUCGAUGAUCUCAUCGGAUGAACCACGAUGUUGAGGAUUCAAUCAAUCCCGUAUACAAUUCCCUUUGUCUAUCGGUAUGUUACUUGCCCGAGAUUCGAUCGUCGGUAUCCCGAUACCUUGUUCAAUCUCGUUACCGGCAAGUCUCUUUACUCGUUCCGUAACUCACAUCAUCCCGUAAUCAACUCCUUGGUCACAUUGUGCACAUUAUGAUGAUGUCCUACGAGUGGGCCCAGAGAUACCUCUCCGUUUACACGGAGUGACAAAUCCCAAUCUCGAUUCGUGCCAACCCAACAGACACUUUCGGAGAUACCUGUAGUGCACCUUUAUAGCCACCCAGUUAUGUUGUGACGUUUGGUACACCCAAAGCAUUCCUACGGUAUCCGGGAGUUGCACAAUCUCAUGGUCUAAGGAAAUGAUACUUGACAUUAGAAAAGCUUUGAGCAAACGAACUACACGAUCUUGUGCUAGGCUUAGGAUUGGGUCUUGUCCAUCACAUCAUUCUCCUAAUGAUGUGAUCCCGUUAUCAACGACAUCCAAUGUCAAUGGUCAGGAAACCGCAACCAUCUAUUGAUCAACGAGCUAGUCAACUAGAGGCUUACUAGGGACAUGGUGUUGUCUAUGUAUCCACACAUGUAUCUGAGUUUCCUAUCAAUACAAUUCUAGCAUGGAUAAUAAACAAUUAUCAUGAACAAGGAAAUAUAAUAAUAACCUAUUUAUUAUUGCCUCUAGGGCAUAUUUCCAACAGUCUCCCACUUGCACUAGAGUCAAUAAUCUAGUUCACAUCACCAUGUGAUUAACACUCACAGGUCACAUCACCAUGUGAACAACAUCCAAAGAGUUUACUAGAGUCAUCAAUCUAGUUCACAUCACUAUGUGAUUAACACUCAAUGAGUUCUGGUUCGAUCAUGUUAUGCUUUAUGAGAGAGGUUAUUAGUCGACGGGUCUGAACCUUUCAGAUCCGUGUGUGCUUUACGAAUAUCUAUGUCAUCUUGUGGAUGCUACCACGCGCUAUUUGGAGCCAUUUCAAAUAAUUGCUCUACUAUACGAAUCCGGUUUACUACUCAGAGUCAUCCGGAUUAGUGUCAAAGUUCGCAUCGACGUAACCCUUUACGACGAACUCCUUUUCACCUCCAUAAUCGAGAAAAUUCCUUAGUCCACUAGAUACUAAGGAUAAGUUCGACCGCUGUCAUGUGAUCCAUUCCCGGGUUACUAUUGUACCCCUUGACCAACUCAUGGCAAGGCACACUUCAUGUGCGGUACACAGCAUAGCAUACUGUAGAGCCUACGUCUAAAGCAUAGGGGACGACCUUCGUCCUUUCUCUCUCUUCUGCUGUGGUCAGGUCUUGAGUCUUACUCAAUACUCACACCUUGUAACACAGCCAAGAACUCCUUCUUUGCUGAUCUAUUUUGAACUCUUUCAAAAUCAUGUCAAGGUGUGUGUUCUUUGAAAGUAUCAUCGGGCGUCUUGAUCUAUCUCUAUAGAUCUUGAUGCCCAAUAUGUAAGCAGCUUUAUCCAGGUCUUCCUUUGAAAAACUCCUUUCAAACAACCCUUUAUGCUUUCCAGAAAUUCUACAUCAUUUCGGAUCAACAAUAUGUCAUUCACAUAUACUUAUCAGAAAUGUUGUAGCACUCCCACUCACUUUAUUGUAAAUACAAGUUUCUAACAAACUUUGUAUAAACCCAAAAACUUUGAUCACUCCAUCAAAGCGUAUAUUCUGACUCCGAGAUGCUUGCUCUAGUCCAUGGAAGGAUCGCUGGAGCUAGCAUACCUUUUAGCAUCCUUACGAUCGACAAAACCUUUCUGAUUGUAUCACAUACAACCUUUCCUUACGAAAACUGGUAAGGAAACUUGUUUUGACAUCCAUCUGCUAGAUUUCAUAAAUGCAGCUAAUGCUAACAUGAUUCCGACGGACUUAAGCAUCGCUACGGAUGAGAAAAUCUCAUCGUAGUCAACUCCUUGAACUUGUGGAAAUACUCUUUGCCACAAGUCGAGCUUCAUAGACGGUAACAUUACCGUCCAUGUCCGUCUUCUUCUUAAAGAUCCAUUUAUCUCAAUGGCUUGCCGAUCAUCGGGCAAGUUCACCAAAGUCCAUGCUUUGUUCUGAUACAUGGAUCCUAUCUCGGAUUUCAUGGCUUCUAACCAUUUGUCGGAAUAUGGGCCCACCAUCGCUUCUCCAUAGCUCGUAGGUUCAUUGUUGUCUAACAACGUGACUUUCAAGACAGGAUCACGUACCACUCUGAAGUAGCACGCAUCCUCGUCGUCCUACGAGGUUUGGUAGUGACUUGAUCCGAAGUUUCAUGAUCACUAUCAUAAGCUUCCACUUCAAUUGGUGUAGGUGCCACAGGAACAACUUCCUGUGCCCUGCUACACACUAGUUGAGGUGACGGUUCAAUAACCUUAUCAAGUCUCCACCAUCCUCCCACUCAAUUCUUUCGAGAGAAACUUUUCCUCGAGAAAGGACUCGUUUCUAGAAGCAAUUACUUUUGCUUCCAGAUCUGAAAUAGGAGGUAUACCCAACUGUUUUGGGUAUUCUUAUGAAGAUGUAUUUAUCCGCUUUGGGCUCGAGCUUAUCAGCCUGAAACUUUUUCACAUAAGCUUCGCAGCCCCAAACUUCUAAGAAACGACAACUUAGGUUUCUCUAAACGGUCUCGUCUCAACGGAAUUGCAUGGUGCCCCUUUUAAAGUGAAUGCGGUUAUCUCUAAUGCCUAACCCAUAAACGAUAGUGGUAAUUCGAUAAGAGACAUCAUGGUAUGCACCAUAUCCAAUAGGGUGCAGUUAUGAUGUUCGGACACACCAUCACACUAUGGUGUUCCAGGCGGUAUUAAUUGUGAAAUACUUUCCACAAUGUCUUAAUUGUGUGCCAAACUCGUAACUCAGAUACUCAUCUCUAUGAUCAUAUCACAGACAUUUUAUCCUCUUGUCACGACGAUCUUCAACUUCACUCUGAAAUUACUUGAACCUUUCAAUAAUUCAGACUUGUGUUUCAUCAAGUAAAUACACUCAGCAUCUACUCAAAUCAUCUGUGAAGUAAGAACAUAACGAUAUCCACUGCAUGCCUCAGCACUCAUUGGACUGCACACAUCAAAAUGUAUUACUUCCAACAAGUUGCUCUCUUGUUCCAUCUUACUGAAAAGGAGGCCUUUCAGUCAUCUUGCCCAUGUGGCAUGAUUUGCAUGUCUCAAGUGAUUCAAAAUCAAGUGAGUCCAAACGAUCCAUCUGCAUGGAGUUUCUUCAUGCAUAUAUACCAAUAGACAUGGUUCGCAUGUCUCAAUCUUUUCAAAAACGAGUGAGUCCAAAGAUCCAUCUACAUGGAGCUUCUUCAUGCGUUCUAUACCAAUAUGACUCAAAUGGCAGUGCCACAAGUAUGUGGAACUAUCAUUACUAUUUUAUAUCUUUUGGCACGAACAUGUGUAUCACUACGAUCGAGAUUCAUUUUAGGUGCAAGACCAUUGAAGGUAUUAUUCAAAUAAACAGAGUAACCAUUAUUCUCCUUAAAUGAAUAACCGUAUUGCGAUAAACAUAAUCCAAUCAUGCUCAACGCAAACAUCAAAUCUCGAUGGUAGAGGGAGCAUGCGAUGCUUGAUCACAUCAACCUUGGAAACACUUCCAACACAUAUCGACAUCUCACCUUUAGCUAGUCUCCGUUUAUUCCGCAGCUUUUAUUUUGAGUUACUAACACUUAGCAACCGAACCGGUAUCUAAUACCCUAGUGCUGCUAGGAGUACUAGUAAAGUACACAUUCAUAUAACGUAUAUCCAAUAUACUUCUGUCGACCUUGCCUGCCUUCUCAUCUACCAAGUAUCUAGGGUAGUACUGCUUCAGUGACCGUUCCCCUCAUUACAGAAGCACUUAGUCUCGGGUUUGGGUUCAACUUUGGGAUUCUUCGCUAGAGCAGCAAAUGAUUUGCUGUUUCAUGAAGUAUCCCUUCUUGCCCUUGCCCUUCUGGAAACUAGUGGUUUUACAAACCAUCAACAAUUGAUGCUCCUUCUUGAUUUCUACUUUCGCGGUGUCAAGCAUCGCGAGUUGCUCAAGGAUCAUCAUAACUAUCCCUGAUAUGUUAUAGUUCAUCACGAAGCUCUACUAGCUUGGUGGCAGUGACUAUGGAGAACCAUCACUAUCUCAUCUGGAAGAUUAACUCCCACUCGAUUCAAGCGAUUGUGGCACUCAGACAAUCUGAGCACAUGCUCAACGAUUGAGCUUUUCUCCCUUAGUCUGCAGGCUUAAGAAACUUGUCAGAGGUCUCAUACCUCUUGACGUGGGCACUAGUCUGAAAUCCCAAUUUCAGUCUUCGGAACAUCUCAUAUGUUCUACGACGUUUCAAAACCGUCUUUGGUGCCACAAUUCUAAAUCGUUAGCAUUACGCACUGAACUAUCACGUAGUUAUCAAAACGUGUAUGUCAGAUGUUCCGCAACAUCUACAGACGACGCUGAGGUUCAGCACACCGAGCGGUGCAUUAAGGACAUAAGCCUUCUGUGCAGCAAUGAGGACAAUCCUCAGUUUACGGACCCAGUCCGCAUAAUUGCUACUACCAACUUUCAACUAAAUUUUUUCUCUAGGAACAUAUCUUAAACAGUAGAACUAAAGCGUAUGACAUAAUUUGCAAAGACCUUUUGACUAUGUUCAUGAUAAUUGAGUUCAUCUGAUUAAUGAACUCCCACUCAGAUAGACAUCCCUCUAGUCAUCUAAGUGAUACAUGAUCCGAGUCAAACUAGGCCCUGUCCGAUCAUCACGUGAGACGGACUAGUCAUCAUCGGUGAACAUCUCCAUGUUGAUCGCAUCUACUAUACGACUCAUGUUCGACCUUUCGGUCUCUUGUGUUCCGAGGCCAUGUCUGUACAUGCUAGGCUCGUCAAGUCAACCUAAGUGUUUCGCAUGUGUUCCGAGGCCAUGUCUGUACAUGCUAGGCUCGACAACACCCGUUGUAUUCGAACGUUAGAAUCUAUCACACCCGAUCAUCAGGUGGUGCUUCGAAACAACGAACCUUCGCAACGGUGCACAGUUAGGGGGAACACUUCUCUUGAAAUUUUAGUGAGGGAUCAUCUUACUUACUACCGUCGUUCUAAGCAAAUAAGAUGCAUAACAUGAUAAACAUCACAUGCAAUCAAAUAGUGACAUGAUAUGGCCAAUAUCAUUUUGCUCCUUUGAUCUCCAUCUUCGGGGCACCAUGAUCAUCUUUAUCACCGGCAUGAAACCAUGAUCUCCAUCAUCAUGAUCUCCAUCAUUGUGUCUUCAUGAAGUUGUCACGCCAACGAUUACUUCUACUUCUAUGGCUAACACGCUUAGCAAUAAAGUAAAGUAAUUUACAUGGCGGUAUUCAAUGACACGCAGGUCAUACAAAAAAUAAAGACAACUCCUAUGGCUCCUGCCGGUUGUCAUACUCAUCGACAUGCAAGUCGUGAUUCCUAUUACAAGAACAUGAUCAAUCUCAUACAUCACAUAUAUCUUUCAUCACAUCCUUUUGGCCAUAUCACAUCACAUAGCAUACCCUGCAAAAACAAGUUAGACGUCCUCUAAUUGUUGUUGCAUGUUUUACGUGGCUGCUAUGGGUUUCUAGCAAGAACGUUUCUUACCUACGCAAAAGCCACAACGUGAUAUGCCAAUUUCUAUUUACCCUUCAUAAGGACCCUUUUGAUCGAAUCCGAUCCGACUAAAGUGGGAGAGACAGACACCCGCUAGCCACCUUAUGCAACUAGUGCAUGUCAGUCGGUGGAACCUGUCUCACGUAAGAGUACGUGUAAGGUCGGUCCGGGCCGCUUCAUCCCACAAUGCCGCCGAAUCAAGAUAAGACUAGUAACGGCAAGAAGAAUUGGCAAAAUCGACGCCCACAACUACUUUGUGUUCUACUCGUGCAUAGAAACUACGCAUAGACCUAGCUCAUGAUGCCACUGUUGGGGAACGUAGCAGAAAUUCAAAUUUUUCUACGCAUCACCAAGAUCAAUCUAUGGAGUAAUCUAGCAACAAGGGGAAGGGGAGUGCAUCUACAUACCAUUGUAGAUCGCGAUGCGGAAGCGUUGCAAGAACGCGGAUGAGGGAGUCGUACUCGUAGCGAUUCAGAUCGCGGUUGAUUCCGAUCUAAGCACCGAAGAACGGUGCCUCCGCGUUCAACACACGUGCAGCCCGGUGACGUCUCCCAUGCCUUGAUCCAGCAAGGAGAGAGGGAGAGGUUGGGGAAGACUCCAUCCAGCAGCAGCACGACGGCGUGGUGGUGAUGGAGGAGCGUGGCAAUCCCGCAGGGCUUCGCCAAGCACUGCGGGAGAGGAGGAGGACUUGGGAGAGGGGAAGGGCUGCGCCAGAACUUGGGUGGUCGCUGCCCUCCCACCCCUCCACUAUUUAUAGGUGGGGGAGAGGGGGGCCGGCCCCCUUAGAUCUCAUCUAGGGUUGGGGGCGGCGGCCAAAGGGGGGAGGAGUGCCUCCCAAGUCAAGUGGAGGCCCUCCCCCUUAGGGUUUCCCCUCUCCCAUGCGCAUGGGCCUUGGGGGGGCUGGUGCCCCUGGCCCAUUAAGGCUAGUGGCGCCCCCUUACAGCCCAUGCUGAUGUAUUGGAUGUGGUGGAACAUUUUCCGGACCUCCGGACCCCUCCGGAAUCCUCCGGAACCUUCUGGAAGCUUCCCGGUACAAUACCGAAAAACCCGAACUUUUCUCGGAACCCGAACAACAACUUUCCAUAUAUAAAUCUUUACCUCCGGACCAUUCCAGAACUCCUCGUGAUGUCCGGGAUCUCAUCCGGGACUCCGAACAACUUUCGGGUUACCGCAUACUAAUAUCUCUAUAACCCUAGCGUCACCGAACCUUAAGUGUGUAGACCCUAUGGGUUCGGGAGACACGCAGACAUGACUGAGACGACUCUCCGGUCAAUAACCAACAGCGGGAUCUGGAUACCCAUGUUGGCUCCCACAUGCUCCUCGAUGAUCUCAUCGGAUGAACCACGAUGUUGAGGAUUCAAUCAAUCCCGUAUACAAUUCCCUUUGUCUAUCGGUAUGUUACUUGCCCGAGAUUCAAUCGUCGGUAUCCCGAUACCUUGUUCAAUCUCGUUACCGGCAAGUCUCUUUACUCGUUCCGUAACUCACAUCAUCCCGUGAUCAACUCCUUGGUCACAUUGUGCACAUUAUGAUGAUGUCCUACCGAGUGGGCCCAGAGAUACCUCUCCAUUUACACGGAGUGACAAAUCCCAGUCUCGAUUCGUGCCAACCCAACAGACACUUUCGGAGAUACCUGUAGUGCACCUUUAUAGACACCCAGUUACGUUGUGAUGUUUGGUACACCCAAAGCAUUCCUACAGUAUCCGGGAGUUGCACAAUCUCAUGGUCUAAGGAAAUGAUACUUGACAUUAGAAAAGCUCUGAGCAAACGAACUACACGAUCUUGUGCUAGGCUUAGGAUUGGGUCUUGUCCAUCACAUCAUUCUCCUAAUGAUGUGAUCCCGUUAUCAACGACAUCCAAUGUCAAUGGUCAGGAAACCGCAACCAUCUAUUGAUCAACGAGCUAGUCAACAAGAGGCUUACUAGGGACAUGGUGUUGUCUAUGUAUCCACACAUGUAUCUGAGUUUCCUAUCAAUACAACUCUAGCAUGGAUAAUAAACAAUUAUCAUGAACAAGGAAAUAUAAUAAUAACCUAUUUAUUAUUGCCUCUAGGGCAUAUUUCCAACACUCCGAAUCCGGGUUAGUAAAAUGUACUUCUUCUCCGCAUACUUGCUUUGCAUGUUAAAAGCCUUACCCGUCGCGAUCUUCUUGGCCUCCUGGAUCUCCUGGAGAGCGCCCCGGGCUUCAUUCUGUGCAGCCUCCGCGCUCUGGCGAGCUUUGGCAAGUUCGGUCUCUCGAACCAACGCUUCGCGCUCCGAAGCCUCACACUUCUUCACCGCGUCUUGGUGCUCCUGCUGGAUCUCGCCGACCCGGGCCUUGAGCUUCUUACGGGCGGUUUGCUGCUGGACAGCCUUCCCUUCGGCUUCGGUCAAGGCAUUUUUUAGGGCCUCGACCUCGGUCGCCGCCCCUACACAUAUUAUGACACUCCUGUCAAUACUCACCACUUACUCUUCUCGAAUACACAGCAAGUCGUUACUCACCUUGCUUCUCCUGGAGCUGAAUCUUCACCUCGCCGAGCUCGUUCUCGGUCCGCUCCAACCUCUACUUCAGUUCAGAGACUUCGGAAACAUGCGAGGUCGCGGCCAACAGCGACGCCUGCUUAUUCAUAAAUAUCAAAUUAGUCUCCUACAAAGGGUUGAUCCUCUGUCCGGCCUUUCUUUCCGAACACCGGACAGCGUCUCAGGGGCUACUGUCAGCACGGGGUGUUCUCUUUCUACGUGACUUACCUCAAAACCUGUCAACAGGUUGUUGCAGGCCUUGUUUAGUCCGCUCUUGAUGGACUGAACCUUCUCGAUCACCGUACCCAUAAGGAUACGGUGCUCGUCCACAAUUGAGGCGCCUCGUAGUGCCUCCAUCAGGUUAUCUGGUGCCCCCGGUUGGACAGGGGCCAUCGGUGGAAUUGGCGCACCCCACUCCUUUGAAGGAAGGCGCGCGCCAGAUUCCGGGGCUGUAUCGGUCCCCGGGAUCGUAUUCGGCUGAGGGCCGAACUGAAUACGUCCCUCUUCGCCAGUCUCCAUGGGGAUCUGCUCCCCCAUGUGUCCGGCAGCGGAGGUCUCUCCUUGCGGCGCCUCCUGGACAACGUCCUGGGCCCCUCCCCAGCUCGGAGCAGUCCUCCGGGACAACACUUCGGUGUCGUCCUUGGCCUCAGGGGAAUAAGCGGGCAGCGAUGACAUACUGGCCAUUUCUGUCGGAUCCAACGAACCCCCAGAUGAGGAUCGCUGGAUGCUGCCACGGGCCGGACUGCAAUGGCACAGUUAAUCACGUUAAAACAAUGAAAAGGAGAGGCCGGGUACACUUAUGUACGAGAGCCAUAGUUCUUACAAUGCAGCCUGAGGCUUAGUGGGGAGGCGUCGCUCCGGACUGCUAUCAACGUCCCACGCGGUGUUGACCGCAGGGGCGCCCUUCCCCUUCUUGGGCGUUCCCGCCUCCAGAUUCGUGGAGGCCCCCCUCUUCUUCUCCUUAGGGGGAGGGUUCUUCUUCUCCUCCUCCUCCUCUUCCUCGUCGUCGUCCUCAGGGACGGAGGAAUGGGCUUCCUCGUCUUCGGACGUCACGUCUGAAGUGCCCUUGCGACGGGAGCCGCUUUUGGCCCCCUUGGCCUUCUUCUUGGCCUUCUUCUCCGGCGCCUUAUAUGGCGCCGGCACCAGCAUCUUCGCCAGGCACGGGAUGACCGGCUCUUCAGGCAGCGGAGCCGGACACUGGAUCCACUUCGCCCUCUCCAUCCAAUCCUGAAAAAGCAAUAAUAAACUCAGACAUCAUCCUCGAAACAAUUAAGUUGGGGAUACGUCAAAAAUAACAUACCUCGCUGGCGAGGUGUUUGUAAUCGUGCCCACGAUCGGAAUCUGUGGCCGGUGGUUUCUCGUUGCCCUUAAAAAGCAACUUCCAGGCACCUUCGUAAGUGGUUUCGAAGAGCCUCUCCAGAGUUUGGUGCUUCUUCGGAUUAAACUCCCACAGAGGGCGACUUCUACGCUGGCACGGGAGGAUGCGGCAAACUAGCAUCACCUGGAUUACAUCGACAAGUUUGACGUUCCUGGCUAUCAUACUUUAAACGUGCGUUUGCAGCGCUAUCAGCUCAUCGGGCGAGCACCAGUUCGGACUCUUCUCGACCCAGGAGGUGAGUCACAUGGGAGCACCGGAGCGGAAUUCGGCAGCUGCGGCCCAGGUGGCGCUGCGGGGUUCUGUGAUGUAGAACCAUUGUUUCUGCCACUCCUUUACUGUCUCCACGAAAGUACCUUUCGGCCAGGUGACGUUUGACAGCUUACUCACCAUGGAUCCCCCGCACUCCGAAUGCUGGUCAUCCACCACUUUCGGCUUCACAUUGAAGACUUUGAGCCAUAGCCCGAAGUGGGGUUGGAUGCGGAGGAAGGCCUCACACACGACGAUAAACACCGAGAUGUUGAGGAAGGAGUUUGGGGACAGAUCAUGGAAAUCUAUCUCGUAAUAAUACAUCAGCCCGCGGACAAAAGGGUGGAGCGGGAACCCUAGUCCGCGGAAGAAAUGAGGGAGGAAUACCACCCUCUCGUUGGGCUCCGGCAUGGGGACGACUUGUCCCUCGGCCGUCAGACGAUGGGCGAUUCCCUUCGCCAAGUAUCCGGCCGCCCGAAGCUCAGUAAUGUCCUCCUCCUUGACGGAGGAGACCAUCCGCUUGCCCUGACCUCCGGAUCCGGACAUGGUUGAGUGCUAGCUAGAGUGGAAAGGAGAUAAGAACUUGGGCGCUGGAACUCGAGAUUGGGAGGGCAGAGAUGGAGAGAAGGCAUGGGAGAGGAAGAGGGAGUCCUUAUCCCUUUAUAAAGGCAGUAAAUAUUGAACGCCUCCCCGCUCGCCUUAGAAUUCACCUGUUCCCAAGGGCUGUGUAAACGGCGUGUUUGGGUUAACCAAACCCGCAUUGAUGAAAAUCCCACGAUAAGGGGACACGAUCUCUGCUUUGACAAGACGUGCUAGUGGCAACCGCGUCUCGGGACGUGGAGCGGCGGACACAGAAACGGUUCGGAAUUAUGACCGGUCGGACGUGAUGUCAUCCUACAAAACAUUUGUCAACAGAUUGGAUUCGUGUGAAAACUAUAUUUUCUCUGUGGUUGUGUAUGGUGUGUAUGAGGUCCGGAUACUAUCAUUGCGUCCGAAGACUAUCUUGGAGUUCGAAAAGAAGGGAACCCGCCUUGCAAUGCCGAAGACAAUCUGCGCGCCGGACUCCUCGUCAUUGAAGCCAGGUUCAGGGGCUACUGAGGGAGUCCUGGACUAAGGGGUCCUCGGGCGUCCGGCCUGUUAUCCAUGGGCCAGACUGAUGGGCUGUGAAGACAUGAAGGCCGAAGACUGUACCCGUGUCUGGAUUGGACUCUCCUUGGCGUGGAAGGCAAGCUUGGCGACCAACUAUGAAGAUUCCUUCAUAUGUAACCGACUCUAUGUAACCCUAGAUCCUCCCGGUGUCUAUAUAAACCGGAGGGUGUAGUCUGGAAAGAAUAUACUCAUUACCAUAGUCAUACAGGCUAGACUUCUAGGGUUUAGCCAUUACGAUCUCGUGGUAGAUCAACUCUUGUAACACUCAUAUUCAUCAAGAGCAAUCAAGCAGGAAGUAGGGUAUUACCUCCAUAGAGAGGACCCGAACCUGGGUAAACAUCGUGUCCCCCGUCUCCUGUAACCAUCGAUCCUAGACGCACAGUUCGGGACCCCCUACCCGAGAUCCGCCGGUUUUGACACCGACAACCGGCUUAAACUUUGGAUCAAUAUUAAGAGUGUGCUCAGCGAGUUCUCUCGGUACACCCGGCAUGUCUGAAGGUUUCCAUGCAAAGAUGUCCCGGUUCUCACGAAUGAACUCGAUGAGCGCGCUUUCCUAUUUCGGAUCCAGAUUGGCACUGAUACUGAACUGCUUCGAUGAAUCACCAGGAACGAAGUCAACCAUCUUAGUGUCAUCUACCGGCUUAAAUUGGAGUGAAGGAUCCUGCUAUGUGGUUGGCUUCUUUAGAGACGUCAUGUCCGCCGGGUCAACAUUAUCUUUGUAAAAUUUCAGCUCCUCCGUUGCGCAAGCAGACUCAGCAUAAGCAGCGUCUCCUUCCUCACACUCCAAGGCUAUUCUCCGGCUCCCAUGCAUUGUGAUAGUUCCCUUGUGACCCGGCAUCUUAAGCUGCAGAUACACAUAACAAGGUCGUCCCAUAAACUUGGCGUAAGCCGGCCGUCGGAGCGGAGCGUGAUAUGGGCUUUGCAUUUUCACCACUUCAAAGGUCAAUGUCUCCGACCUAGAGUCAUGAUCAUCUCCAAAAGCAACCUCCAGAGCUAUCUUACCAACCGGAUAAGCCGACUUACCUGGCACCAUGCCAUGGAAAACGGUGUUUGACGGCUUAAGGUUUUUAUCAGUCAACCCCAUGCGGCGGAAGGUUUCAUAAUAAAGGAUAUUGAUGUUGCUCCCUCCAUCCAUGAGUACCUUGGUGAACUUAUAUCCUCCAACCUGAGGUGCAACUACUAGAGCCAAGUGACCCGGAUUGUCAACCCGGGGCGGGUGAUCUUCCCGGCUCCAUACAAUGGGCUGCUUAGACCAGCGCAAGUAACGGGGAACCGCCGGCUCAAUGGCAUUGACUGCCCUCUUACGAAGCUUCUGGUCGCGCUUACAUAAGCUAGUGGUAAAGACAUGAUACUGUCCACUAUUCAACUGCUUCGGGUUGCUCUGAUAACCAGAUUGUCGUUGUUGUUGAUUCCCCUGAUUAUUUGGUUGAUUGUAACCACUUUGGUUGCCAUGACCACCUUGAUUUCCUUGGAACCGGAAUUAGAGCCGCCACAGCCGUAACCUGGUCCAUGAAAGCCGGACCCUGAGCCGCCACCCGGCCCAUGACCAUCUUGGUAAAAAUUUGAAUUUUUGAACUCCUUCAUAAUAAAGCAAUCUUUCCAAAGGUGCGAAGACGGCCUUUCUCGCGUCCCGUGCCUUGGGCAGGAUUGAUUUAAUAGCUGCUCAAGAUUGAUGCCUGAUCCUGCAGCCUGUGGGGGCGGUUUACCCUUACGGCGCUGACCAUUAUUCUGUGCAUUUGUGUUAGCCACAAAGUCAAAACUAUUAUCAGCCUUACGCUUACCAUUGCCUCCUUGAUUCGCCGGGUUAUGCUGUUGCCCUUUGGUGUUGCUGCUCUUCUUUUCCUUUCCCGGCUUAUCAUCAUCGGACUCGGGGUCCUUGGUACCAUCAGAAUUAGCAUACUUAACCAGAGCCGCCAUGAGCGUCCCCAUGUCAUUACAAUGGCGUUUAAGCCGCCCCAAUUUCUGCUUCAAGGGCGUGAAACGACAAUUGCCUUCUAACAUUAAGACUGCUGAGUCGGCGUUGAUACGAUCCGACAAGUGCAGAAUCAUUGAGACCCGGCGCACCCAAUGAGUUGUCGAUUCAUCCACUUCUUGGACACAGGCGGCCAAAUCCACAAUUGACAUGGGCUGCUUGCAUGUGUCUUUAAAAUUCUGGAUAAACCGAGCCUUUAACUCAGCCCAUGACCCAAUGGAGUUAGCAGGGAGCCCCUUUAACCAAGUACGGGCCGUCCCUUCCAACAUCAGGGGGAAAUGCUUAGCACACGCAGCUUCGCUAACAUCUAGCAAUUCCAUGGCCAUCUCAUAACUCUCAAUCCAUGCCUCAGGAGCUAAGUCGGCUGUAUAAUUAGGCACCUUACGGGGACCCUUGAAAUCCUUGGGCAGACGUUCAUUGCAUAGAGCCGGCACUAAACACGGCACGCCCAAAUUCCUGAAAGUUACACCUGGCUCCAUUGAAGUUGUCGGACGAACCGGAGUAGGUUGACGGUCCGCAUACUGCGCCUCUAACUCGGCCUCUCGGCGUGCUCUACCUUGAUCCACCACGUUCUGAGCAUCAGCACCGCCGCCCGCCGGCUUAUGCCCGCGUGGCGGGUUACGGUUUCGCACACUGCUUGAUACAGCCGGUUCAUCUAUAUGUCUGCUAUAACUCCGGCUUGGGCGAGGGGUGGAAUGAAUCCUGUCACGACUGUAAGAAUACGCCUGCUGCUGAACUGAAGCAGUUUGAAGGAACUCUCUAGCCCUCCGUGUUUCAACCGCCCUCGGAUAUUCACCUUCAACCGGGAGAGCCGCCAAUCGUGACGCUGCAGCGAUCAUGUUAUCCAAAAGGUUAGAGUAAUGACUCGGUGGUGUUGGCACGUGCUGCGGUGGGUUAUUGCUCUGACGAGGCGGGUCCGUCGUUCAUGGCUGAACCGGCGUGCCCGCCCCGGGUGUCUCGACCCGGUUUACCACUGCCGGGUUACUGGUUCCUACUCCUGGCGUGUUAAAGAGAUUCCUCGCCUCGUAAACCGGGGGCAGAUGACUCCAAUGCCUCCUCCUCAUGACAUCAUUUGAAGCGUUCUGAUCUAGCAUGAGCCGGUACGACUCCGACUGAAUCCGUUGUGCCUAAGCAUCCAAAGCGGCUCGCUCCUCAGCCAUCCUCACGUUUUCCCCGUUUAGCUCCUCCUUAGCCUGUGCUAUCUCAUCACGCAAUUUUGCAACCGCCGCAUUGUGCUGAUCCUGAUCCGCUGGGUUAACCACCAUUGUUACCAGCGCUGUCAGUUUAUCCACUAAGUCAGUUAAAACUUGAGCCGACGGGCGCACAGGGCCUCUUGCCCCGGCAGCCGUCGCUCCUGCUGACCCGGAAAUCAGUGCUGCUGCAGUCGAUGAGUGCUGCACCGGCUGCGUACCGGCCAUGAAGAUCGCAACCCGGUUCGGCGGCUCACAGGGGUCCGGAAUACUGUCGCCAUCGGAACAGCCCCCAAGCCGGCCGUCUUGUAGUUGGUACAAAGACUCGGUCUCGCCGGUGGACGAUUCACCAUCAGAGUAAACGACCGUCUCACUGCCAGACACCGAUCUAUCCUCAGGUUCCGCUCCAUGGAUGAAUCCCACGAAGGCACGUUUCAUGGCGGGCUGAACACGGGCGGGUCUCGCACACUGAGCCGUCUCGAUGAUGUCGGUGCAGGUGUCCGGCUAAGGGCCCGGCUCACCGAUUUUGCCGAUGAAGACGUGAAUACCGCCAAAGGGGACCCGGUACCCGUACUCAAUUGAGCCGGCCUCGGGGCCCCAGCCUGCGUCGUCGAUGUAGAGCUUGCCGCGACGACUCUUGGUCAUCCGGCCUAUGGCGUAUCCCUUGAGCCCUUCAAAGCUGCCCUCUAAGAACUUGAAACCAUUGUGCAAUAGCCCCACGGUGGGCGCCAACUGUCGUGGAAUUGUCACGUCAGAUGUCCUAGUGUGAGGACUUAGUCGUGGAGCCAUCGCAACAAGAUUAGCAUAAAGGGGUUAAUCAGGACAAAGGACAUGAGGAGUUUAUACUGGUUCGGCCCCUUGCGGUGAAGGUAAAGGCCUAAUCCAGUUUGAGGUGGUAUUGCUAGGGUUUCGAUGACCAGGGAGCGAAUACGCUUAACCCGGCUCUCGAUCUGUCCUUUCUUGCCCUAAGCCGCCGCCGGGUCGUCCCCUUAUAUACACGUGUUGACGCCCUGCGGUCUACAGAGUCCCGGCCGGCUCAUAAACGUGUCCGGCUCGGAGACCAAUUACAUAUGCCUUACAACACAAGUCAUAGAUACAUGGCGGUUUAUAACUGUGGGCCUUAAGCCGCCUUUGGCUUGGGCCCUCUACUCAGCCUAUCUAUGAACCGCCAUUACAAUCUUGGGCUUCAUGGAGAUGAAUCGUCAUCAGGAUGACCCAGCCCCUCCUGGCGGGUCAUGCCUGAUAGUCAUAUCCCCAACAGAGACCAUGUGUAGAAUGCUAUUGGUCUUGAUUACCGUGUGAUGAGAGAGAAGUAUUUUUUCGACUUUAAUGUGUAUUGGGAAGAUAGAUGUACACUCUUUUAUGGACAAAUUUUAAAACUGAACGUACACUUUUCACCCGACGGAGGGAGUACUCAGUAGUCCUCAUCGUUCGUAGCAGCCAUUCAUGCCAAAAUAUUUUGGAAAUCGAGUGCUGAAUCAAUUUAGAAAUUAAACCAUUAAUGCAAUUAAUUAGCUAGAUACUCGCUCUCUCUCAGUUUACAAGGUAUGCGCGUAUCCCUAGGUCAUCAAUUUUACCAACCUAAUAGAAGUCAUAUAUUACAAAAAGCAUACCAUUAUAAACUUCAGAUGUUCUAUUUUCAAACGGUAUAAUUUUUUUGUUAUAUAGUUUAUAUUAUGGUGAUAAAACUCGCAACCUAGGUAUACAUGCAGGACUUGCAAACUGAAACGAAGGGAGUAGUUAAUUACAUAUGCAAUUAAUUAGGUCCGUUUAUAUAGGAAUUAUUUUCGCUCCAAAUCAAUUUGGAUCCGGUCAUUAAUGCAAUUAAUUAACAAGGUCCGCACUUAAUUAUGCCUACAUAUAAUUAGAAGCAGGGAUUUUUUUUCCAAUUGGUUGAUUUGUUUGGCAGUUCAUUAGGCAUGCGGAGAAUUACGGAGGUCGUUAAUUAUUUAUGCAAUAAUUAAUCAAGAAGUUAAUCACGCUGAAUCAUUUUGAAAGCGCUCGUGGGCACGGACGAUCAAUAGGCUCUCCGCAACAUGGCCGAGCACCGCUUGCGAACCUAAACAAUGGCCACCAUGUGCUCGUGACAUGGGCAACCUAGCGUUCACCAAGAUGGAUGACGAUCAUGCUCUGCGGGAUAUCCACAUGUUGACGGUUGUUGAAACCUUUGCGGGUGAGGACAACACGACAUUACAUUGGCCAGGUGGUUCAUGCUAUACUUGAAAGGGAGAGUGUUCCAUGGUGUUAGAGAAGGAAAGAGUGUCCCAAAAAAUAAAACGAACAAGAAAGAAUAUUAUAGAAAAUAAGUAGGAAUAUGUUCUUGAAAAAAGGAAAAUAUGUAGGAAUGAGAACAAAAACCGGCAAGGAAGGAGGAACAAGAAGAUGAGGCGUCGCUGAAAAAACACAAUGGUGUUGACAUGGUGCUUUUUGGCGCCAACGAAACGGGUUGGCGAAGAGGCUAGGAGUAGAAGAUUUAGGGAAGGACGGGGAAGAGAAGAAUGACAAUUAUCCCUUCUACCAAUGAAUGAUAUCUGGGCUGGAAGUGGAGCUUAUUGCUGACUAGGCAUAUGUUCAGGUUGCCACUCCCCUCCCAUGUCAGUGUGCAUUUGCAAAGUUUAAUGGACCUUUGAGACUGAUCUCUAUAGUUAUUUAUUGUUUUGUGUCAAUAGUAUGUGUUAGUUUAACCCACUCUAUUAUAUUGUAAAUAUGAAUAAAAAAACUUCCCUGUUGCAACGCAGGAUGAAGGUGAGGUGGGCUCCAUCUUGUUUUAAAGGACUAUGUUCGAGCGAGAAAUGUCUGGCUAUGGCGGGAUACUGAGCGAGAAGUGGAGGGUCCGACAGAUAAGGGGAAUGGUGCGUUGUGGGGUGGGGUUUUUCUGUUGGGCCCGCGUGUUGGAUAUAACAUGGUGGAUAGUCCGGACAACAACAUUUCUCCCUCAUAUAUGGUUUGAAUUUUCAGGAGCCCGGACUCUGAGCCUGCUGAUGUCCGAACACGCCCGGAUGUAUGAGGAGAAAUGAGGUUUGACCUUGAAGACGACCUUGCCAUUUCUUUGAUUCAUUUAUGUGUGCAUUAUAGCCUGUAACAACGCACGAGCGUUCUGCUAGUGUCGAUUAUAAUUUUGUGUGGCAUCAGUUGAGAGUACAAAAAAAGAUCAAUAGAAAAAGCAAGGAGGAGGGGGGCGUGGGAAGGGAAAACGAGGAAGGAGGGGAGAUGAGGGAACCAACUCAUCUUUAAUAGUACAUAGAGAUAACUGUAAGGACGAGGCGAUUCGAUGCCCCGGCUCAGCUUCGUCCGCGAUGAACAGAAAAUAAAAAAACAGUAGAAAAUUCAAAAAAUCCUUUUCUUGCAUGGAAUGUAAUUUGGUGGGUGAGGUGCGCUCCAAAAUUCAAAUUACUUGGACAGCUGAGUAGCUAUCGGCAAAAAAGACAAAUUUGUGGUCUGUGAAAAAGUUUACUCUUCAUGUAUUGUUCUGACCAAUUUUUUAUAUAUAUUUUUUGUGAAUUUUCUUUUCACCGGGUGUAGAUAUUCGUAACCUUAGCUAAUUAUAUUCCCUAAAAACACUAAUAUUCUAAUAGUUUUCCUUAUUUACCUUUCAUAUUUCAUGGCACUUUAAUUACUUUCCUAGUUUGUAGAAGUGAAAUUCAAAAAUGAACCUACAGAUUAAUUAGCAUGUCAUACCUUACCCGCCAAAAGAAAGAAUGAUCAUACCUAGCAAGAGUUAAUGCUAAUACUAACACAUGCCCUUUCGCCAAACAAAAAAACAACAGCUGCACAUGCAGUGCCAAUCAUCUCGGAACUGGAUCUGAACGCUUCACGGGUGAGGGAGGGAACACACGCCACAUGCUGGUGCCGGCGCCUAUGCAGGCCGUCCGAUCGCUGCACGGACGACCUAGAUCGCGUCACCAUAAGCGAUGAUUGGGUUCAGAACACUGUACCAUAUGGUUGUCCAAUAGGAGUAUAAAUCAUAUUCAUAUAUGUGACCAAUGGUUAAUGGGAGAUUCAGAGGUCCUACUUUACGGACCAUAGGAUCAGCUGCCAUGCCAUUCCUGCAAUCAAACAUUUGUGUUUGUGUGGACCUCCAUUUUCUGUUACACGGUAUACAGUGGCCCGUAGAAGCUGGACAGCAACCCCUGUGAAUGUGAUCAUGCAUAUUACAGGCCAACGCAAUCAAGUGGAAUCAAUGGCCCCUCCCCAUGCCCCUGCACCAUUGCUCUCUUGCAAGGGUGUGGCGCCAGCUUCAGGAUCGCAUCUGAACAACAACAACAGCAAUCAGAUAACGGAGGGAGAACGAGAGAAACAAUGAGAUGCCACUCCUUGUCUUUGGCAUCCAACCAUGUUGGUCAAAAUGCUACAUGAUCAGGAAAAGGAAUCCUCCGGUUCCCCGUGAAUUAUUGAAGGCGGCAAGAUGCAGAGCACAGGUGUCCGGCCCGGUGCCGCCGAACCUGUAGAAGAAUCCUGUGGCCGCGGGGCACGGUAAACUAGUUGGCGCAUCAACCAACACUUGGCUGCCGCUGGCCGGGGCCGCUCGCCCGCCCAUUCCAGGUACCCCGGAAUCCAAAUCCAGAAUGCUCGUGGCCGUCCACGGAAUACAUGUGCAAAGUUCCUCGGGAUAUACUCUUAACUACUCACAUGAGCCUGACAGGUGGCAUCCACAUGAGCUAGUUUUCUCCGGUUCAGGUCGCGGGUCUUGACAUCUUCACAAGAAACCAAGAAAACUCGUAAGGGUCGGAGCGUUUGAUGAACUAUAUGGAUCCGAAUGUCUUGGUUGAUUCAUUCAGCCCUCCCAAACGGAAGGGAUGCAUCUUUUUUUUUCUGGACGAACGACAUGUGCCUUGAGCGGAAUGGAGUCGCUGUACUGAGGCAUCUUUUCCUCCCGCGGGGAGCAUCAUGUGGCCGUUUCUUCCCCGCCUCGUCUUGUCCUCUCGUCCCUUGGUUUUCUUCUCACCUAGGUAGGCUAUAUGCAAGCAGGAAUCCAAUCUAGAUCGCCUCGCCUCGAAAAACCUCUGCGUCGUGUUGCCCUCCUCCCUUGGCGAGCUCUUCUUUCCGGCCGACGCAGAAUAUCGCAAAGCAGCCAACCUUUUCCCGAAAGUGCGUGCAGGGCGAGACAAGCUGGCUGCACCGCUCGAGGUUUCCAGAUGAGUGAGUGAUUGAUUGAUCGACCCAGAGAUUCGAAAGCAGCCACGAGGACGAUGGAUAGAUACAAGAGAAUCGCACAGAAAGCAGCGCAAGCCAAUUUCUUUUUGGAAAUUCUCUACUGUGCAUUUCCUGGUCUGAACUCCAGAGAGAAAAUUACAGUCGACAACGAUAGCAGAUCGAGGAGGAGAUUGAGAACACAUCUCCACUCACAGCCACGAAUCCACUGAGCAUCGUCACGACGAAACCAAGAGCCGGAGUAAACAAUUGUAAUCGAAAGAAACAUAGUACAGCUAGUUUCCUUUUGUUAUUUAUUCCAUCCAAGAAGAAAACAGUGGACCGACGCAUGGGAAAUAAAAAAGAUGGCGCCAAAACGAACUCCGGCGAAACUAAACGGCGACGAGACGCCCGACGACCUCACUACGACCAUGGACACGAUACAACAUCACCGGCCGGUUGGACCGGCGAUAGAUAUAGAAAGAGCUCGCCCUCAC